rnacentral:rRNA from 1 species
GACGAACGCUGGCGGCGUGCUUAACACAUGCAAGUCGAACGGAAAGGCCCUGCUUUUGUGGGGUGCUCGAGUGGCGAACGGGUGAGUAACACGUGUGUAACCUGCCCUUGACUUUGGGAUAACUUCAGGAAACUGGGGCUAAUACCGGAUAGGAGCUCCUGCUGCAUGGUGGGCGUUGGAAAGUUUCGGCGGUUGGGGAUGGACUCGCGGCUUAUCAGCUUGUUGGUGGGGUAGUGGCUUACCAAGGCUUUGACGGGUAGCCGGCCUGAGAGGGUGACCGGCCACAUUGGGACUGAGAUACGGCCCAGACUCCUACGGGAGGCAGCAGUGGGGAAUAUUGCACAAUGGGCGGAAGCCUGAUGCAGCAGCGCCGCGUGCGGGAUGACGGCCUUCGGGUUGUAAACCGCUUUCGCCUGUGACGAAGCGUGAGUGACGGUAAUGGGUAAAGAAGCACCGGCUAACUACGUG